UUUGGAGAAAGAAAUAUUUGUAUGCUAUAAACAGCCUCUAGGUUGAGGAUCAGGAGUGCUUGGUUAUCACCGUACCUCUCUGGCCUUCAGUUUUCCAGAUUAAAUGGACCAGAUGAUUUCUUUAAGCUCUGAAUUACCUUGACCCUAAGCCAGAAUUAGGUAAGAAUGUGCCAGUACUUGCUGGGAUCCUUGCGAGAAUCUUCUGCAUUAUGCAUGGGAAUUUUCAGAUUCUUCACUCUUCAUUGACUGGAAUAUUUUUUAUUUGCUGAACUAUGUUACUUCAGUCACCUCAGUCCUCAGUAUUUUGGGGGAAGGUGUAAAUGCUGCCAUGUAAACACAUGAUGUUGGCAGAAGGCUGGCGUUUCCUCAAGCCAGUGUUUUACUGUAGUUGGAAAAAAUGUCAUGGAGGUUUCUUCCUCUUUUCUUUAACAGAUCACUUGUGUUUGUCCCCUCCCUUCUACAGUUGGAACCCUUUAUCCCCUCUUUGUCAUUUAUCAACUUGAGGGCUUCAGGGAAAAACUUCAGACAUCCAUGAGGAAGUGAAUCCUCAUAGAGGGCUGCCCUGGAGGCUCCUGGGAAGUUGGAGCGUCCAAAUGGCUUGGCCUGGAAUCCCUGACACCCAACAUGCAGAUACUUCCUUCAAUGUUGACUUUGCUUGUGUGUGAUGGCUGGGUAGGGAUCUUUGGUGCCUGUGGCAGGAUGGCUUCUCCUUGGCCACACUGGGUACACAUUUCAAAGCCGGAACUGGAAUAUCAGCUUCACUCAGGAUAAAUUUUCCUUGUGUCAUUGGUCAGUAAAAGCAAUAUACAUUGCAAUAAAGGAAGACAGCAUUUUUCUUUUAUUGUAGCAUUUAGGUAGAAAAGAGGAUUACCUAAUGAUAAUGGUGUAUGAUAUGACUUUAAAUGAUAAAUGCAUGCUUAUCAUUUAAAACGUAACCAUAUCACUGGUAAUGACAUACUAGUUCUUAAAAUGUGCAAACUUUUCUCUAUUAGGCGGUCAAGAGCUGCUACCUCACGUUUCCUGUGUGGGCAUGCUACUGCAGCCUCUCUGGUCGUUACUCCUGGGUCUCCAGGAUGUCCUGAUGAUCCUGGCAUAACAAGUCGCCUCCUGCAAGGCUGCUAUAGCUCUAAGACUGCUAUUUGUUCCUGUAGGACUGUAUGCCCAGGAAGCCACACAAACAGUGUAACCAGACAGUCUAUCUGGGAGGAGAAGGAAAGAAUGUAUCUACCAGCUCCCUAUCUCUCAUGGGCCGAAUUCUUCCCCACUGUACAUUAA
rnacentral:lncRNA from 13 species